rnacentral:rRNA from 1 species
AGCGGCGGACGGGUGAGUAACGCGUAGGAAUCUACCUAGUAGAAGGGGAUAGCCCAGGGAAACCCGGAUUAAUACCGUAUACCUCCUUCGGGAGAAAGAAGGCCUCUCUUUGAAGCUUCGCUACUAGAUGAGCCUGCGUAAGAUUAGCUUGUUGGUGAGGUAAAGGCUCACCAAGGCAACGAUCUUUAGCUGGUCUGAGAGGACGAUCAGCCACAUUGGGACUGAGACACGGCCCAGACUCCUACGGGAGGCAGCAGUGGGGAAUGUUGGACAAUGGGCGUAAGCCUGAUCCAGCCAUACCGCGUGUGUGAAGAAGGCCUUCGGGUUGUAAAGCACUUUAAGCAGGGAGAAAAAGUUAUAAGCUAAUACCUUAUAACCUUGAUGUUACCUGCAGAAUAAGCACCGGCUAAUUCCGUGCCAGCAGCCGCGGUAAUACGGAAGGUGCAAGCGUUAAUCGGAAUUACUGGGCGUAAAGCGCGCGUAGGUGGUUUGUUAAGUUGGAUGUGAAAGCCCUGGGCUCAACC